rnacentral:rRNA from 1 species
UGGGGGAUAUUGCACAAUGGGCGAAAGCCUGAUGCAGCGACGCCGCGUGGGGGAUGAAGGCCUUCGGGUUGUAAACUUCUUUUGCUCUGAACAAGGCAUGCUAAUGGGUGUGUUGAGUGUAGGGGUUGAUUAGCGCCGGCUAACUACGUGCUAGCAGCCGCGGUAAUACGUAGGGCGCGAGCGUUGUCCGGAAUUAUUGGGCGUAAAGGGCUUGUAGGUGGCUGGUUGCGUCUGUCGUGAAAGCUCAUGGCUUAACUGUGGGUUUGCGGUGGGUACGGGCUGGCUUGAGUGCAGUAGGGGAGGCUGGAAUUCCUGGUGUAGCGGUGGAAUGCGCAGAUAUCAGGAGGAAUACCGGUGGCGAAGGCGGGUCUCUGGGCUGUUACUGACACUGAGGAGCGAAAGCAUGGGGAGCGAACAGG